CUACGGGGUGCUGCAGUGGGGAAUAUUGCACAAUGGGCGCAAGCCUGAUGCAGCCAUGCCGCGUGUAUGAAGACGGCCUUCGGGUUGUAAAGUACUUUCAGCGGGGAGGAAGGGAGUAAAGUUAAUACCUUUGCUCAUUGACGUUACCCGCAGAAGAAGCACUGGCUAACUCCGUGCCAGCAGCCGCGGUAAUACGGAGGGUGCAAGCGUUAAUCGGAAUUACUGGGCGUAAAGCCACGCAGGCGGUUUGUUAAGUCAGAUGUGAAAUCCCCGGGCUCAGCCUGGGAACUGCAUCUGAUACUGGCAAGCUUGAGUCUCGUAGAGGGGGGUAGAAUUCCAGGUGUAGCGGUGAAAUGCGUAGAGAUCUGGAGGAAUACCGGUGGCGAAGGCGGCCCCCUGGACGAAGACUGACGCUCAGGUGCGAAAGCGUGGGGAGCAAACAGGAUUAGAUACCCCCGUAGUC
rnacentral:rRNA from 1 species